AUGGUAAAAAGGUGAAAACCUUUUUUACCCCCAAACUCUGUGCAAUGGAGCACACGGCUUAUGCAUCGAUGAAGCCCGCGGCAAAAAGCGAUAUGUAAUGAGAUUCGUUAGCCUCGCGAUUCAUCAAAUUGGUGAACACAUACUGGACCUCUUCGGAGGUACUUGCGUUAGAGUGCUAGUUUUAUAUCAAUUGAUCCUGGUAAAAGGUGUUUGUAUCUUUAGAUGCUUACGCCCUAGCCGGUGUAGCCGGAUUCUCUUUGAGAAACCGGAUUGUUCUGAACCUGUUGGUUUAGUUGGCCGUUUGCAACUCUACCCACCCAUUGCGGGUUCGCGGUACGGUGUGCGGCGCUCGAUUAAAUUGAUGGUUUAGUCAAUCACUUUUAUAUUUUAACUGGCCUCUAAUGUGAGAGGGUACCCCCUGGAUUUAAGCAUAU
rnacentral:misc_RNA from 1 species